GGAGGAUGAUGAGUGGGGAGGAGAGUCCGAACUCAGGCCAGUUUAAGAUCACCCGAGGGAUCCCACCCAACACCUCGGUAAGGUUCUCAUCAGGGUUUACAUCGUAUCUGCAUCCAACCUCCACCCAGCCGAUACCGAUGGGAAGUCUGACCCCUACAUCGUUCUGAGGCUGGGGAAAACUGAGAUAAAAGACAGAGACAACUACAUCCCCAAGCAACUCAACCCAGUCUUUGGCAGGUCCUUUUGAGAUCCAGGCCACGUUUCCUAAAGACUCCCUGCUGACUACUCUGAUCUAUGACCAUGACACCAUUGGACUGACGAUCUGAUCGGGGAGACGUGCAUAGAUCUGGAGAACCGCUUUUACAGCCGACACCGGGCCACCUGCGGACUGCCCACUGAGUACAGCAUUGACGGUUAUAACGCCUGGAGAGAUUCCACCAAGCCAUCUGAGCUGUUGACUAAGCUCUGUAAGUGAGAACAGGCUAGAUGAACCCUCCUUCAGACCCGGGAAAAAUCACCAUCGGGGACAAUGUCUUCGCUGGGGAAAACACUGUUCAUGGA